UUGGUCCCUAAUCAAGGCCAGCAGUUUGCUGAAGCUGUUGGUUUCAAGCAUGAGCCCAAAGAAUUAUCUUUCUAUGGUGUUAGCCACAUCAGAGCUUUGGAAAUGUAAUAGUCAAUUCAUUAGAAAGAAACUGUA